UACAGAGGGGGCAAGCGUUAUUCGGAAUUAUUGGGCGUAAAGAGCGCGUAGGCGGUCCGGUAAGUCAGCUGUGAAAGUCAAGGGCUCAACCCUUGAAAGCCGGUUGAUACUGUCGGGCUAGAGUCCGGAAGAGGCGAGUGGAAUUCCCGGUGUAGCGGUGAAAUGCGCAGAUAUCGGGAGGAACACCAAUGGCGAAGGCAGCUCGCUGGGACGGUACUGACGCUGAGGCGCUAAAGCGUGGGGAGCAAACAGG
rnacentral:rRNA from 1 species